GCAAGUCGAGCGCGAACGGCUGUCUUCGGACAUCUAGUAGAGCGGCGAACGGGCUGAGUAACACGUGAGUAACCUGCCCCAAGGUCUGGGAUAACAGCACGAAAGGGCUGCUAAUACCUGAUAAGCCCGCGCAGCUGCGGCAUUGCGGGAAAAGUGGGGGCUCUCUAUAUGAGACCUCAUGCCUUGGGAUGGGCCCGCGGCCCAUUAGGUAGUUGGUGGGGUAAGAGCCUACCAAGCCGACGAUGGGUAGCUGGUCUGAGAGGGCGAUCAGCCACACUGGAACUGAGACACGGUCCAGACUCCUACGGGAGGCAGCAGUGGGGAAUUUUGCGCAAUGGGCGGAAGCCUGACGCAGCCAUGCCGCGUGGGUGACGAAGGCCUUCGGGUUGUAAAGCCCUGUCCGGGGGGGCGAAAAGCAUUUUCAUAAGAAGAGAAUGUAUUGACGGUACCCCCGAAGGAAGCACCGGCUAACUCCGUGCCAGCAGCCGCGGCAAUACGGAGGGUGCAAGCGUUGUUCGGAAUCACUGGGCGUAAAGCGCGUGUAGGCGGUAGUGCAAGUCGGGUGUGAAAGCCCUGGGCUCAACCCAGGAAUUGCGCUCGAAACUGUUCUACUUUGAGUACGGGAGAGGGACGUGGAAUUCCUGGUGUA
rnacentral:rRNA from 1 species